ensembl:lncRNA
GGGAGGGAUCCGUGCACGGAGACAGAGACAGACGAUCAUGGACAGCAAACUACGCAGAUGUUAACGUAGGACCAAAGGCUGAGAGCUCAUCGAUGGACAAAUGGUUGCUGAAGAACCCUCAAUCUUUCUGCAUAUGUAAUGGGGACAGGAGUCACAGAAACCAGGACAGCCCUCUCACGAAAUGAGUACUUUUCAGGCAGUCAAGGACCCAGAAAAAGGCAAAUCGCUACUAGUGAAUCACAGGAUGUAGUUUCCUAACUAAAGUGGGAGAGACUUUCUGGGGUUGUUUGAUUUUUGUGUAAAAAACGAAACAUGCUCAUGCAAUCAUAACGGAAAUCUUAAAAAUAGGUUGUUUCUUCAUCAUUUUGUCCUUUUGACCCAUGUUGCUCCUACUUGACUCCUUCAGAACAUGCU